ACAGAGGGCCAGGGUUGAGUUCCCAGUCACUCAGGGUGACUCUCAACAUCUAUACCUGCUGCUCCAGGGGAUCUGACACUCUCUUCUGUCUUCCACAGGCUCCUUCAGUCAAGGACACAUACACAUAAAUAAAAAUAAAAGUUAAAAACAAAACUGUGAUGUAUGCUACUACAUGCAUAAGCCCUGAAAAUGUGAUAGACAUAAUAGGCUACAUAUUGUAUAUUACAUUUGCAUGAAGAAAAAAAAAACAAAAGACGCAAAGGAAAAAAAAAAAGAAUUUCAAGGAUUUUGGUCUAGCAAAUAAAGUAUAGAAUCCAGACAAAUGACAAACUCAUUUUACAACUGCCCUCCACACCUCUGGGAUAAUUUUGCCCUGCUUUUUCUUUCUGCUCCCAGAUGAUUUCUUUAUUUGGUAAAAAGUUUACAGUAAACUUCAAACAGAAGGGUAAUUUAGUUUUCAAGGUGAAUUGACUUAGAUGGUUUUUAUUGGCAGUUUAGAAAUAUCUUGUCAUUAUCUUAGCUUACUAUUGCUAAGUUCAUAUAUUAUUUUCAGAUUGACGUAACAUUUUUUUGAAAGCCUCACUGACAUUUCUUUCAUAUUUGAGCAGUAGGAUUUCAUCUCAUCUCCUCGCACUAUGACCCACCUGAAACCCUCUUUGCUGGGACAAUACUCACUAUAAGUUUGUGGUCAGAGACCUUAUGUGUUCCUCCCAUCACGGCUUACAUCAGCGUGUCGGGCAUUGGGGAUAUUCCGGCGAGACAUUCUGCACUGCAGCAGCUAGCCGAAGCCACAGUGAACC
rnacentral:lncRNA from 1 species